CUCGAUAAGGGAUAUGCUUGAGUGGUCACGAAUAAAGGGAGCCACUAUGUGAACGGGGAAAUAGCGAUGUUACUAAUCUCUCUGUAUAUAUGUCUCUGGAUAUACAUCAAAGGAUUUUCAUAAAAUGUGCAUUGUUUUGUCGAUUUUUAUUGCUGAAUUUUAUUUCUGGUUGCUUUAAUAUGAAAUGAAUAUAUGUAUAUAUUUGAAAUUGAUUGCUUGUCUUAUCAAUAUCUUAUGUAUGGGUAAGUUUUUGAAUUCUUAUAAAUACAUGUAUUUAAUAAAUGUCAGAUACAUGCUCAAUAACCAAAGGUUUAGAAGUGUCCUUUGAGUGUAUUUUUACUCCAAUUAAAAUUGAAUUGUAUUAUUUUGAUAGUAAGCAAUGCAUAUCAUAUUGGACCUAAUAAGCACACCUGUUAAAACUAGUCCACUUUUUGGAUUAUGGGCACGUUUAAAUAAAGUCAUUACAAAUAAUGCUGACCUCACUGAUACAAUAUACAGCCAGUUGAAUGUUUGUCUAACUGCUCUUUGCCUCUAUACAGCCAAUGAUUGAUGCCAGUAAAUUUUGCUAUAUUCAUUUCUAAGAAUGGUUCCCUAGCUUGUCCCUAGUGAAACCUGUUUUAAUGUCUUUUGUCCAAUUAAGAGUUUCUGAAUGCACUUUGUACAGUGACAUGGUCUGCAUUAAAUUGUCUUCUAAUCAGAAAAUUCAUAAGGGAAAACAGCAUAAAUCAUAUGUUAUGUGACUGCCAGACCUUCUUGUCUGUAUAUUCUGCUUCUUGAUACACAUCUGCUGUAUGUUGCAGCAUGCUUUCGUCUGAAAAGUCACACAAGGGAAAUUAUGUGAUUUCUGCUACAUUUUUCCUAAACAACCUCUUUUUCGGUAUGAGAGAGUGGGCCCAAUCACCUGAUGAUUUGUUCUUUAGUGUAUAUUCUUAAGUCUAACAGUGUACUGCAUUCUGGUAACAUAGGUAAAUAGUCUUUUAGUCUUCUCUAGACCUGACAGAUUGUGAUACCUUUUGUUGAUUAGAGAUGCAUUGUUUACAUAGAACCCAAUCAAGGUGAAACUUUCAAAACCCUGCCUAACUGUUGUCCGGGAAUACAUAUAAAGGAGUGAUUACAACUGGAUACAGCUAUUACAGUUUACCAACACCAGUGCACAAUUCAUAUUUACAAUCGGCCUUAUUAAAGAUUCGCCAAUCAAACAUUUGGUGAUGGGUAAAUAAAAUUCACCAACUUAUGGUUAAUAUCUUUUGACUAGUCCCUGAAACCAUCGGGUUCUUUCGCUGCAAGUGAUUGUGCUCUGAAGAUUACCUAUUGAAGUUUAAAUAUGUCUUCAGUAUACAUUUAUUACUGAGUACAAGUCUAUGUGCCCAUGUUUCCCACUGUACAUGGCAUCUUUGAUAGCUUGCUUCAAGAGGUUGCACAUAGAAACGGUUCGCUGUAAAUGGCUUUGUUAAGCACACACCGUUGUGUUUUUUUUGUAAGCCCACAUUACUUGUGUGAGAUAUGAAAAUAUACAAAAAACAGUACUUCAGUUGUUUUAGUACUGACCUCAAUAUUAUACACACGUACAUCAGGACACGUUCUAGUACUGACCUCAAUAUCAUACACACGUACAUCAGGACACGUUCUAGUACUGACCUCAAUAUCAUACACAUGUACAUCAGGACACGUUCUAGUAUUGACCUCAAUAUCAUACACACGUACAUCAGGACACGUUCUAGUACUGACCUCAAUAUUAUACACACGUACAUCAGGAUAUGUUUUAGUACUGACCUCAAUAUCACACACACACGUACAUUUGGAUAUGUUCUUGUAUUGAAGUCUUAUCUACAAAUGUUAGUAUUGCGAUCUUGUACUUAAUUGCCGAAAUCAAACUUUUGUUGCUAAUUCUUGUUUUCUCGUUUGAUCUUAAGUGUCACAAAUGACAUCGAUCAAAAUCUCAUUAUGAUGUUUAUAUUUGUCUACAUGUUAAUGAUUGUUAUAAAACAGGAAUGUAUUUUUGUCUGAAAUUAAUUAUACUAUCAUGUUUAUCUCACCUGGUCCGAAGAACAGGUGAGCUUAUGCCGUUGGGCAGCGUCCAUCGUACGUCAUCUUUACACUACUAGUCAUGAACGACUCAGCAGAUUUCCAACCAGGGGAAAUAUUGCACCAAAUUGGUGAAAAGUUUUUAUUCUUGUGGUUUUCCGAUAUUUGCUGUCAUAUCCAGGUGAGCGAUACAAGCCCCCUGGGCCUCUUGUUACUAUAUCAUAUUGUGUACCAUACAAUCUGUUAAAAUCAUAUAUCUCGUUGCAUUUUGCUACAGCUGGGUCUCCCUAGAUGAACAAUGUACAUAUAAACCAAAUUCAAAGAAUAUGCUGAUUAUAACGAGUUUGUGUUCUGAUAUACCUUCAACCCACCUUAGUCAUCUCUUACUUCCGGAUCCCGCUUUCCGGAUAAAUCAAUUGUUUAUUAUAAACUAUCUAACACUGAAAAAACUUACUUCCAGCAAGACUAUUUUAUACUUAAUCAUCUUAAGCACAUAGCCUAUAAUGCAUGUACACCACUUUUCUGAAGGAAAGAAUGGCUAUUUUGUUGUGCAUUCCAUUGGAUUUGAUUUCGUGUCAUGGCAUAAAGUGUGACCACGAGAUUGUUGGAUAUUCUUCCGAUAUACGUGUUUAUACCCCACUCUUACACAGACAAAUAUUCUUCAUGUCAAUUCAGGUCAACUUCAUGAGCUAGUGUUUCACUUUUAGUUGUAAUAUUUAGUACAGAGUAGCCUUGAGAUGAACUCUAACCUCAGUAAACUAAAAGAUACCGAUAAAAUUUACCAUUGGUGGAGGACUAUUUCCUUACAUAUUCUUGCUUUGGCUGAGUUCAUCCUAAUUUCCUCGUGUACGGUGCCGGGCUUCUGCAUCAUAUUAAAAGGUAAUAUACUGCUGGGGAUUUUUCUUUCAUGUUUGAUUUUCCUGAUUAAUCAACAUGUACAUUUGUCAUUUUUUUCUGACGAGAGGUUUCAGUUUCAAAAUAUGUUAUUGUUAAACAACAAAGAUAGUUACAGUAGUAUAGAUGAGAUGUAACAGUACGUGUAUUAUGUAAAGUUACACUUAUCUUCAGGUUUUAUUGUCCUGUUUAAUUGACAGGUACCAUUUAAGUAUGUUGAUGUUUGGUUACAUUUCAAUCAAACAUGCUGUAAGUACAGGUGCUACAGUCAUUUUCCUUCUGUCCCAUUUAAAACUCAUGACAUUAGCAAGACUACUUAUGGUUUCUCUGGAAUCAAAUCACCACCGGUUUUAGUUUUAAAAUAGAUUUCGGUAAUGACAUCAAAGGUAUGCUAAGGUAAAAUAAUUAAUGAUUAUUAAAAUAGAAUAUUCAGUAAUUAACAGUGUUAUACUGUAAGUGAGGAAUGCCAUAACGUUUGUACAAAACUAUCUUUGUCUACGUUAUCAAGUAGUUUCCCUUUUAUAUAAUCGUGUACAACUUGAGGAUAUGUUUUUACAAAUCUUACUUCAAAAACCAAUAUGAGUUAAUACCAAAGAUAAAUACAGUUAGGACAUAAUUUACCUUUUAUAGUCAUACCAAUGAUCACGUGUCUUUUGUUUGACCUGAUGCCUUCCUUGUAUGUAAUAUUCUUUCAAGUUCUUAUUCUGACGCCUUCCUUGGAAGAAUUGAUACUGAAUCAUGCCACUAUUGCAUACUCUGUGUGUUCUUAUAGUAACGUUGAAAACUGAAAUCAAGAAGCGAACCAUUAUAGUAGGAAUCGUAAAAUGUUCACAUAAACGUAUGCUGGAGUCUAUCUCAAGGUUAGGGCUCGUUCGAUUUGUUCAUAGCGGCAACCUUACCAACACUCGCCUGGCGACCAGUCGGACACGUUACGUGGUGACGUGCCUGUCGGUGCUUGGUUGGAUACCCACUACGAAAGCCCUUCUGUAAGAUAUUACUGGAAAAAUGCUUCAGUUUUUAAGGUUUUCCAGCUUCUAAAUUCGUGAAGUAUUAAGGAACUAUGUGCAUUAGGUAAAUAUAUUUUCGAAUCAAAUAAGUUAAGAACAGCGUGAAUAUGUUUUGAUCUGAUAUAUAAUUGUAUAUUGUAUGUAAUAAGGGAUUCAUUCUCUAUUCAUUAGUCUGUAUUGAAUCUCUACUGUAGUUUUUCUCUGUCAUACGUAUGGGCCAAUGACCUAAAGUUUUAAAUAAAACUUAUUUGCAAUAUGACUGCCUGUGGCACUUUUCUAAGAUCUACGAACUAAAUAUUCCUGAAAGUUGUAUUGACAACAGAAGGGUUUUUUCAUAUUUUGAAAAAGCAAGUGUGAGAUUUAUAAUACAAUUUCAGUUUCCGUUCAGUAAUGUGAGGUAUGUUAUAAAAUUUCAGUUUCCGUUCAGUAAUGUGAGGUAUGUUUUAAAAUUUCAGUUUCCGUUCAAAAUAAGAGUGAGGUAUGUAUGUAAUACAAUUUCAGUUCCCGUUCAGUGAUGUGAGGUAUGUAAUACAAUUUCAGUUCCCGUUCAGUGAUGUGAGGUAUGUUUAUAAAAUUUCAGUUUCCGUUCAGCAACAAGAGUGUGAUAACACUCAAUGCAUGUUCAUUUUAUUGGCUCUGAAUCGCAAGCCAAGCAAAAGCAAUAAAGUCAAUUUUACUCUAAA